AACAAUCUUGUACUAAUCCCCUAACAAGAAUUUUAAGGGAUUAUAAUCAAGAAUCAAUCCACAGCAACCCAUUUCAGCCCUGCUUUUGAAGGACCGAUAGAAUUUGCAGUUCCAAUUUUGGAGGGUGGUCUUGACCCGGGAAAACACACUGCAGUCAUUUUUAAAGAGAAUAAAAAAUCAAAUAUUAGUGAUUCUACUAAUAGAAUGUCGAUGAUAGGGAUGAGUAGUAUUUCUUUUUGAAGCUCUGGAAGCAAUUCUAGAGAGAAACGGGGGUUGGACGGCAUUAGAAAAAAAUUAAAUAAAAUAAUCCUUGGUUGGGAGAGCCGUUUUAAGACGUCCAGUAGCCCACACAUUCCUUUAUCUGAG
rnacentral:lncRNA from 1 species